rnacentral:rRNA from 1 species
UACGUAGGGUGCGAGCGUUGUCCGGAAUUAUUGGGCGUAAAGAGCUCGUAGGCGGUGUGUCGCGUCGGCCGUGAAAACCUGCAGCUUAACUGUGGGCUUGCGGUCGAUACGGGCAUCACUGGAGUUCGGCAGGGGAGACUGGAAUUCCUGGUGUAGCGGUGAAAUGCGCAGAUAUCAGGAGGAACACCGGUGGCGAAGGCGGGUCUCUGGGCCGAUACUGACGCUGAGGAGCGAAAGCGUGGGGAGCAAACGGG